rnacentral:rRNA from 1 species
GACGAACGCUGGCGGCGUGCUUAACACAUGCAAGUCGAGCGGAAAGGCCCUUCGGGGUACUCGAGCGGCGAACGGGUGAGUAACACGUGAGUAACCUGCCCCAGACUUUGGGAUAACCCUCGGAAACGGGGGCUAAUACCGGAUACGACACAGCUUCGCAUGGGGUCUGUGUGGAAAGUUUUUCGGUUUGGGAUGGGCUCGCGGCCUAUCAGCUUGUUGGUGGGGUGAUGGCCUACCAAGGCGACGACGGGUAGCCGGCCCGAGAGGGCGACCGGCCACACUGGGACUGAGACACGGCCCAGACUCCUACGGGAGGCAGCAGUGGGGAAUAUUGCACAAUGGGCGGAAGCCUGAUGCAGCGACGCCGCGUGAGGGAUGACGGCCUUCGGGUUGUAAACCUCUUUCAGCAGGGACGAAGCGUAAGUGACGGUACCUGCAGAAGAAGCGCCGGCCAACUACGUG